rnacentral:rRNA from 1 species
GGACUACCGGGGUAUCUAAUCCUGUUUGCUACCCACGCUUUCGUUCCUCAGCGUCAGUUACAGUCCAGAAAGCCGUCUACACCACAGGUGUUCCUUCUGAUAUCUACGCAUUUCACCGCUACACCAGAAAUUCCGCUUUCCUCUCCUGUACUCGAGCAUGCCAGUAUUCAGCGCACCCUCCCAGUUGAGCCGGGAGAUUUCACACUAAACUUGGCACACCGCCUACGAACUCUUUACGCCCAGUAAUUCCGAACAACGCUUGCUGCCUACGUAUUACCGCGGCGGCUGGCAC